GACGAACGCUGGCGGCGUGCUUAACACAUGCAAGUCGAACGGGAUUUAGUAAACGGAAGCCUCGGUGGAAGAUUACUAAUGAGAGUGGCGAACGGGUGAGUAACGCGUGAGCAACCUGCCUAUGGCAGUGGGAUAGCCUCGGGAAACCGGGAUUAAUACCGCAUAAAAUCGUAGAAACACAUGUUUCAACGGUCAAAGAUUUAUCGGUCAUAGAUGGGCUCGCGUCUGAUUAGCUAGUUGGUGAGAUAACAGCCCACCAAGGCGACGAUCAGUAGCCGGUCUGAGAGGAUGAACGGCCACAUUGGAACUGAGACACGGUCCAAACUCCUACGGGAGGCAGCAGUGGGGAAUAUUGCACAAUGGGGGAAACCCUGAUGCAGCGACGCCGCGUGAACGAAGAAGGUAUUCGUAUCGUAAAGUUCUGUCCUAUGGGAAGAUAAUGACAGUACCAUAGAAGAAAGCUCCGGCUAAAUACGUG
rnacentral:rRNA from 1 species